ACAUGGCAGCCAUGAGAGGGCUAGAGGGCGGGGCAGCCAGUGCAGGUAGAGGCCAGGGAGGGAUUUCUGAAAGAAAAGGCGAGCCUCAGAGGCCCUGAAGACGUAGAGGAGGAAAUGAGUUUGAGGAUUAUCAGAAAAUGGCUCCAGCUGAGCAGGACUACACCUCAGGAAUGAGGAAGGCAGAGGAGGCGAGCAUGACUUAGGGCCCGAGUUUACAAAGCUACUCUUCGGAGAUUUUUGUUCAUAACUCUCUUUAAGGGUUCCUGUCUGGUUCCGUUUCCCAAAGACCACCCAAUGAAGAACCUUCUAUUCUUAUCCACAUAAGAAUUUCUUACAACACACUCAAAAAGCAUUUGGGAUUGUUUCCAGAGGACGAGGGUUUGGAGACAAAAAUGUCCUGUCAGAUCUCAGCUAUGUGCUUGGAUUUUCUCGAUGACGAUUCCUGAUUCGUGGCCCUGGCAGUCUUGGGGAAGCGUUGUCGAGUUUCUUCAAUCCAGACCUUGGGGCCUCCUUUUUCUCCACAUCACUCCCACCCAGUUGAUCGAACCACUUUCUAGGACAUAUUGGCAGACAACAAAGACAUUCCUUCAGGAAGGAUGUGCUGCCCAGCUGCAUGGAAUGAGGCCAUCAGGCAACCUCCAGCUAUCAGCUCCUCCAGCACCUGCCUCAGCUGCAGAGACCACCUUGUCCAGUUCAUGUCCUCCCUGGCAAGUCUCAUCUGGUGACAGAAGCAAUCAAGCAGGCAUAGAAAGGCCAGGCCAUUUAGACCCAACGCAGCACAAACUGGAUGGACAAUAUUCACACUAGAGCUCCCUACUAGUAUGGAGCCCACCAUACAGUUCAACUUCUUUCCCUGGUCAAUCCUGCUCCUUUCUCUUCUCUUUGGUCUCUUUAAAAUUAUGGACCCUAACCUGUAUCUCUGCAUCUUCCUCCAGAAAACCCCAUCUGUAACAGGAAACUAAAUGACACCUAGGAUUAUAGAAGGCCUGUUUUAUUUUAUUUUUUUUAAUUUUUAUUUAUUUAUGAUAGUCACAGAGAGAGAGAGAGAGAGAGAGAGAGGCAGAGACACAGGGGGAGGAAGAAGCAGGCUCCAUGCANUUAAAAUCAUGGACCCUAACCUAUAUCUCUGCAUCUUUCUCCAGAAAACCCCACCUGUAACUAUAAACACCUAGGAUUAUAGAAGGCCUGUUUUAGAAGUAUGUAUAUCUCCCUAUUGUUCUUUCUACCAAAAAGACAAUACAAAUUAAGUAAAGCCUCACCUACAUAUCCUGUCCUAUCUCCCACUCUUAUCCCUAAGACAGAGAAAGACAUGCACAGAGUUGGAUAUUCCUCCUUAGGAAUAUAUACUUUAGUGAGUGUUCAAAUGUUAGGUUUUUUUCUCUUUUUGCACCGCAGCUUGAUUUCUGCUAAAACGCAAUCUCCCCGUUUUGUUCGAGAAUGAAUUCAAAUAACCAGCUCAAAUCAUUAUCUGAGUCAGAAAGGUAUGUAUCAUAAUAAUCUCAAUGUGUGGCAAGUGGGAAAUGUUCUUGGAAUAUUCCUAGACACCCCAUUCUGAGGAGGAAGGGGACCUUUUUCUGGAAAUGUCAGACACAGGGGCUCACCCCUGAAUGACUUGGCUGUUUUGUCCUGCUUAGCACAGAGGCUUAGCAUAGUUA
rnacentral:lncRNA from 1 species